UACAGAGGUCUCAAGCGUUGUUCGGAUUCAUUGGGCGUAAAGGGUGCGUAGGUGGCGCGGUAAGUCGGGUGUGAAAUUCGAUGGCUUAACUCCGAAACUGCAUUCGAUACUGCCGGGCUUGAGGACUGGAGAGGAGGACUGGAAUUUACGGUGUAGCAGUGAAAUGCGUAGAGAUCGAUAAGGAAGACCAGUGGCGAAGGCGGGUCUCUGGA
rnacentral:rRNA from 1 species